AACAGGAUUAGAUACCCUGGUAGUCCACGCCGUAAACGAUGUCGACUUGGAGGUUGUGCCCUUGAGGCGUGGCUUCCGGAGCUAACGCGUUAAGUCGACCGCCUGGGGAGUACGGCCGCAAGGUUAAAACUCAAAUGAAUUGACGGGGGCCCGCACAAGCGGUGGAGCAUGUGGUUUAAUUCGAUGCAACGCGAAGAACCUUACCUGGUCUUGACAUCCAGAGAAUCCUGCAGAGAUGCGGGAGUGCCUUCGGGAACUCUGAGACAGGUGCUGCAUGGCUGUCGUCAGCUCGUGUUGUGAAAUGUUGGGUUAAGUCCCGCAACGAGCGCAACCCUUAUCCUUUGUUGCCAGCACGUAAUGGUGGGAACUCAAAGGAGACUGCCGGUGAUAAACCGGAGGAAGGUGGGGAUGACGUCAAGUCAUCAUGGCCCUUACGACCAGGGCUACACACGUGCUACAAUGGCGCAUACAAAGAGAAGCGAACUCGCGAGAGCAAGCGGACCUCAUAAAGUGCGUCGUAGUCCGGAUUGGAGUCUGCAACUCGACUCCAUGAAGUCGGAAUCGCUAGUAAUCGUGGAUCAGAAUGCCACGGUGAAUACGUUCCCGGGCCUUGUACACACCGCCCGUCACACCAUGGGAGUGGGUUGCAAAAGAAGUAGGUAGCUUAACCUUCGGGAGGGCGCUUACCACUUUGUGAUUCGUGACUGGGGUGAAGUCGUAACAAGGUAACC
rnacentral:rRNA from 1 species